rnacentral:misc_RNA from 1 species
ACGUCGGGCGCUUAUUCAGAGCCAAGUGUUCGGCUAUGCACGAGGAAAGUCUGAUUCCGUGCGUGUAUCUGCGUGCAGCUUGUUAAGGGGGCACAUUUCAUAGCAUGCUGCCCCUGUAUGUGUGUGCGUUCAUCUGCAGUAGCAUUAGCAGUGGGUUGACAUUGACGCUUUCGUGAGUUGUGAACGAUCAGUGAUACGGAAUCCGAGGACUGCACUUAUUGUGGCUCCUUAUGCUGCUGAGUUCGCGACCAUUUCAUUAACCUGCCAUCAUCAACGUUCAAGCAAACAUGCUGGACUGCGCACACGAUGAAGGAACCAGCCAUCUCAGGGCCAACGUGUAGCUCAGCACCGGUCAACGCCCCUGGAGGUCAGGAAUCUGCCAAUCGAGCCAGAGAAAAAUCCGUAUCCGAGUCGAGACAAAAGGGGGGGUGUGCAAUGUGGUACCAGCAGCUCGGAAUCGACGCGUUCGAAGUUACUAUCUAAGAAAGACUGUGGAAGCCAGUAGCACGAAGUUCCUAUUACGGCAAUCAGCGAUGGAAGCCCCCUGCAACUCGAAGAAAGUACCGAGGAACUUCGGCCGACCGCUCUUCGAGAUGAUGAUGAAAGGACGGCGGGGGUUCCAGAUCAGUCAGAACCGAGAGACUUUCUUGGUUUCUGCGCUACGCUUCGCAACGAUCGUUAAAGCCUCACAGACGACUUUGUGUUGAAACACGACCCAUUCUAUAUGGCGGGAUUUCUUUUGUUUGUAGCGUGUACGUUUCCUUAGUAGUGCUAGCAGUUUCGAAAUAGUAAAGUACACGAAACGCUU